UUUCUCUUGAAUAUUUUUCAUAUAUUAACAUUAAAUAUUAGUGUUUCAUUUCAGGUCAGAUAAAAUCCACCCCCCACAAAGAAAAAAAAGUCAUCCCUUAGCAGACUAAUGGGAAUGAAUUGAAGAAUUUCUCUAGCAGGAAUAUAAGGAACAGUAUCAUUUUCAAAAGUGAGACCCAGCAACGCUGGUGUGGAGGGAUUCUGGCGUGUUGCAGAGCAAGGGCUUUAUACUGAGGAUAUCAGUGGAGACUAAUUAAAUAAAGGGUUCAGCAUGAGCUGAGCA
rnacentral:lncRNA from 1 species